rnacentral:misc_RNA from 1 species
UCUCCACUAAAAUACUUUCUUC